AUGUUCCAGGAGUUGAAAUUAAUAUUUCAAGAAAAUGCCCGGAUUGAGAGAUAUGAAGUCUCCAAUAAGUUCUAUAGCUGCAAGAUGGAGGAGAAUAGUUCUGUCAGUGAACAUAUACUCAGAAUGUCUGGGUACCACAACCACUCGACUCAACUGGGAGUUAAUCUUCCUGAUGAUAGUGUCAUUGACAGAGUUCUUCAAUCACUGCCACCAAGCUACAAAACCUUCGUGAUGAACUAUAAUAUGCAAGGGAUGGAUAAGACAACUCCUGAGCUCUUCGCGAUGCUAAAAGCUGCGGAGGUAGAAAUCAAGAAGGAGCAUCAAGUGUUGAUGGUCAACAAGACCACCAGUUUCAAGAAGAAGGGCAAAGGGAAGAAGGGGAACUUCAAGAAGAACGACAAUCAAGUUGCUGCUCAAGUGAAGAAGACCAAGUCUGGAACUAAGCCUGAGACUAAGUGCUUCUACUGCAAAGGGACUGGUCACUGGAAGCGGAACUGCCCCAAGUAUUUGGCGGAUAAGAAGGAUGGCAAAGUGAAAUGUAUAUUUGAUAUACAUGUUAUUGAUGUGUACAAAACUAAUGCUCAUAGUAGUGCCUGGGUAUUUGAUAUUGGUUCUGUUGCUCAUAUUUGCAACUCGAAACAGGGGCUACAGAUUAAGCGAAGAUUGGCUAAGGACAAGGUGACGAUGCGCGUGGGAAAUGGUUCCAAAGUCGAUGUGAUCGCGGUCGGCACGCUACCUCUACAUCUACCUUUGGGAUUAGUUUUAGACCUGAAUAAUUGUUAUUUGGUGCCAGCAUUGAGCAUGAACAUUAUAUCUGGAUCUUGUUUGAUGCGAGAUGGUUAUUCAUUUAAAUCAGAGAAAAAUGGU
rnacentral:rRNA from 1 species